ACAUACGACCAUAGGUAGUGGAAAAUUCGGGGUCCUGUCCGCUCUCCCAGUGUUAAGCUAAUGAGAGGCAGAUUAGUAGUUGAGUGGCUGACCAUCAGCGAACACCGGCUGUUGUAUGUU
rfam:Trichoderma virens Gv29-8 TRIVIscaffold_89, whole genome shotgun sequence.